ACGAACAACAAAAUUCAUUGAUGAUGACAGAAGUGAAAAUUGUGAUUUCUAGCUGGGAGUGGUGGCUUAUACCUGUAAUCCCAGCUGCUCGGGAGGCUGAGGCAGGAGAAUGGCUUCAACCCGGGAGGCGGAGGUUGCAGUGAGCUGAGAUCACACCAGUGCACUCCGGCCUGGGUGGACAGAGCAAGACUCCAUCUCGAAAAAUAAAAAAAAAAAAUCUUGGUUUCUUCUGGCAAGGGCGGCUGUAGACUUGAACCGGCACAAGGAGCCUUUUUGAGGAGCAAGAAAUGUUAAAGAAUCUAGAUUUUGCCAGGCUCGGUGGCUCAUGUCUGUAAUCCCAGCACUUUGGAGGCCAAGGAGCGGGGGGCGGGGGGGUGGAUCACCUGAGGUUAGGAGUUCCAGACCAGCCUGACUAACAUGGAGAAACCCCAUCUCUGCUAAAAAAUACAAAAUUAGCCGGGCAUGGUGGCGCGUGCCUGUAAUCCCAGCUACGCAGGAGGCUGAGGCAGGACAAUCACUUUAACUCGGGAGUUGGAGGUUAUGGUGAGCCAAUGGCGCCAUGCACUCCAGCCUGGGCGACAGUGCAAGACUCCCAUCUCAAAAAAAAAAAAAAAAAUUAGCUGGGCAUGGUGGUGCAAAAAAAAAAUCUAGAUCUUGAUCCGGUUAAUGUUUAUGCCUGUGAAUACAGAUAUAAAUAUUCACCCAACUGUAAACUCCAGAUUAGUGCAUUUUUAUCUGCUUUAUUGCAUGUGCCCUUCAGUAAAGUAGAAAAAAAUAAAAGACAAAAAUAAAGGAAGGAAGAACUCACCCUCAAUUCUAUCACCACUAGAAAACAAUGUUUUUUUUUUCUUGAAAUGUUUGCAUUCUAACCGCCCCAGCACUAAGAAGAGGUUCAGUUUUGUAAUUGGAACGUCUGAUGAGCAUCUGAUGAGUGGAUCUAGAGGUUAUCCCCUCAUGUCGAGUUGAUGAUGAUAUUUCAGCUUCUAGACUUGAGCAAGAUGACAGCAAAGGGAAGCGGAAACCCUGGGUCACUGGUUCAGGAAGACGGCCAGGUUUACAUCAACGUUGCAACAAAUCUGGUGGCUUUUUUUUUCGUUUCGUGUUGCUGUUUCUUUUCUUCCUCUUCAUCUUUGGGUCCGUUUGCUACUUUUCUUGGAUUGAUUUUCCACUCUACCCCACUACACAACGUACUCUUUGGGGAGGAGGGGGGUCUUUACAUUUUCUUCCACUCUCCGACUUUCCCAUAUUUUCUCAUGUGUCUCAGUGAAUUCAAUGGUAUGUGCUAACAUUUUCUUUUAUGAGUCUAUUCCAGGGGCUCACAUCCUGUCCCCUGCCCGAGGAGCCUUCCAGUAGCCUUUACAGCCGCAUUCUCAGGCUUUCAUCCACUCUUUUUGAAACAGCGCCUGUGACAUUCCCACUCAUUACAGCGUGCCCCUCCCAUGCCUCCAGGAAAUUCUCUGUUUUCCCACCGGUUUUCUACUCAGCAGCUAUUCUCAGUCUAAUGCGCUUCAUUCACCGUCAGCCUUCCUCAGGAAGACAUAAAAAAAGGGUGAAAAAGAACAUUUAUUUCUCAGGAAGGAUUGGUCAGCUGACUAAGUUGUCUGAGGGUCUAAAAAGAUGAGGGGGUAACUCAAAGCAUAAAUGCUUGAGGAGAUGGAUACCCCAUUCUCCAUGAGGUGAUUAUUUUACAUUGCAUGCUUGCAUUAAAACAUCAUGGACCCCAUAAAUAUAUACACCUACUACAUACUCACAAAAAAAUUUUUUUAAUUGUUUUUAAAGGGGAAGGGGAAGGAUUAGCAGAAAUACUAUAGGUGAAGGGGAAACAAAAGUAUGUGUCUUAUUGUAUGCGCCUUCCCUUUUACAUUGAGUUGCUCUAGUUUCCCGGUUGUUUCUGUUUCCGUAGUGUUUGGUUCAUACGUGGUACUUACGUAAAUAUUUCACCAACAUAUGAAAAAGUGAAUGCGUGAGGGAGAAAACCUGUAAGUCGUGAUUGAAAAAUGACAGGCUAACUGCCCAAGAUUCAGGAUGCUGAGCUUUCUAAGAUGAUGAAAAUUUCUGUGCGGAUUGGGGUAGUGGCAACACUGGUGUGUGUGUGUGUGUGUGAGAGAGAGAGAGAGAGAGAAAAGUCGUCCACCUGCACACCUAAAAGGUUUGAAUUGUAUUGUGUACAUUUUAUACAUAAAAUUGACUUUAAAAAAGACUCAGCGUGCUGCUCGGGCAUAAUGAAGGGAGAGAGUUUGUAAACAUAGGAGGCUGUGUGGAAGCGUGAAAUGUGAAACGUGGAGUGUACGUGGGAAAGAAGAGCAAUAAAAGGACCUGCAGCUAAAGAGGCAACGUGGUCGGGUGAGAGGAGGGGAUGGGGAUGGAAACUCACACAGCUGAGUGGGGCUAAAAGGGACGUUUGAGGAUUACUGGCCUAGCACAAAACAUCUGCCCUUAAGGCGAAACCCUCUUAAAACCUUUGGCGGCUUUCCAGAGAAGACGCCGAUUCCUGAAAAUUGCAAGGCUCUCCGGCGGGCUGGGAGUGGGAGGCGCUCCCGGUGUCCCCCAGCAUGUGGGAGUCGGCGGGACCUGAGCCCCGCCUUCCUGCAGCGGCCGGGACGUGCCGUGUGGCACGCUACCCGCCGCGCGCGCAUCCUGUCCCCCGCCCUCGGAAUCCCAGCACGGGGGCCGAGCCCC
rnacentral:lncRNA from 1 species